CCGAUGAAGGACGUGAUAAGCUGCGAUAAGCUUCGGGUAGGCGCACAUAGCCAGUGAUCCGGAGAUUUCCGAAUGUGGAAACACACAUGGGAAACCCCAUGUACCGUAUAGUGAAUACAUAGCUAUACGGAGG
rnacentral:ncRNA from 1 species